rnacentral:rRNA from 1 species
UACGGAGGGGGCAAGCGUUGUCCGGAUUUAUUGGGCGUAAAGAGCGUGUAGGCGGUUUGGUAGGUCCGCUGUGAAAACUCGAGGCUCAACCUCGAGACGCCGGUGGAAACCAUCAGACUAGAGUCCGGAAGAGGAGACUGGAAUUCCUGGUGUAGCGGUGAAAUGCGCAGAUAUCAGGAGGAACACCGGUGGCGAAGGCGGGUCUCUGGGCCGGAACUGACGCUGAGGAGCGAAAGCGUGGGGAGCGAACAGG